CCUACGGGGGGCAGCAGUGGGGAAUAUUGCACAAUGGGCGCAAGCCUGAUGCAGCCAUGCCGCGUGUGUGAAGAAGGCCUUCGGGUUGUAAAGCACUUUCAGCGGGGAGGAAGGGGGUGAGGUUAAUAACCUCAUCGAUUGACGUUACCCGCAGAAGAAGCACCGGCUAACUCCGUGCCAGCAGCCGCGGUAAUACGGAGGGUGCAAGCGUUAAUCGGAAUUACUGGGCGUAAAGCGCACGCAGGCGGUCUGUCAAGUCGGAUGUGAAAUCCCCGGGCUCAACCUGGGAACUGCAUUCGAAACUGGCAGGCUAGAGUCUUGUAGAGGGGGGUAGAAUUCCAGGUGUAGCGGUGAAAUGCGUAGAGAUCUGGAGGAAUACCGGUGGCGAAGGCGGCCCCCUGGACAAAGACUGACGCUCAGGUGCGAAAGCGUGGGGAGCAAACAGGAUUAGAUACCCGAGUAGUC
rnacentral:rRNA from 1 species